GACGAACGCUGGCGGCGUGCCUAAUACAUGCAAGUAGAACGCAGUUGCGAAUGGGUGAGUAACGCGUAGGUAACUGCCUCAUAGCGGGGGAUAACUAUUGGAAACGAUAGCUAAUACCGCCUACUGUGAGAUGGACCUGCGUUGGAUUUGCUAGGUGGUGAGGGAAAGGCUCACCAAGGCGACGAUAUAUAGCCGAGCUGAGAGGGAUGUCCACCAAACUGGGAAUGAGAAACGGGCCCAUAUCCUUCGGGAGGGCACAGUAGGGAAUCAUUGGAAAAUGGGGGAAGGCUGACCGAAGAACGCCGCGGGAGUGAAGAAGGUUUUCGGAUCGUAAAGCGCUGUUUUUAGGGGAGCGGUAACUAACCAGAAAGGGACGGCUAACUACGUGCCAGCAGCCGCGGUAAUAC
rnacentral:rRNA from 1 species